CCGAGUUGAGGCGAAGUAUGCCGAGUUGAACCGAUGCACUGUGCAGGCACUCGCUGCAUCUCGCUUUGUACGCGUGCGGUUUUCUGUGUUUGUGCGGCCCUGUGCUCCAAGUUGUCGCAUAGAAUGCAAACUUCAUCUUUCUCAUUUUUGAAGUACAGAACACGUGAAUGCACUGUUGCUUGGUCAUUGUCUCGGUUGUCCGAAAGGUUACAGGAAGUUAUGUUAGUGGAGAAGGAACACCUGAACAAAAAGGAAUGAACGUAUUUUGUCACUGUUUGGCAAUACAGGUGGCGAAGGGAUUUUUAAUCAUGCUUCUUAUGUACAUAAAGAAGAAACCUCUUAGAUAUGAUGCAAAUGCAAUAACACAAGCUGCAGAUGCUUUUUUUAAAAAAAAUUCCUUAUGAAACAUUGAGAUGUUCAUGUGAAAAUCCUGCUAAAGUCAAAGGCUGUGGGAAAGCAACAGUGCUGUCAAAAGAGGAGGAAAAGUAUAUAGUUGAAGCUCUAGUGUUUACAGCAAAGUGUGGAUAUCUGUGAGACAGAAAAGAUUUACAGUUUAUGGUGCGUAGUUACAUACAUUUAGUUGAUAGGAAGACACAAUUUAAGGACGAUAGUGCUAUGCCAGGCUGUCUUUAUUGCAUGUUUCGAAAAAAGAUUGUGAAAACCUGAACUAUUGACAAGAGCAAGGGCUGAAGGAUUGUCUAAUUUUGUAGCAGAUGAGUUUUGUAGGAUGUUUGUUCCUAAAAGUGCAAGGGUAACCUAUUCAAGAUCAGGGGGUGCAGGAAUAUCAUAUAGCCUAUAAUAAUGUAAGAUUAUGGGUUCUGAUUAUUGUAUAUAAUACUGUCUUUUGCAUAGAGUUUUGUUUACAGUGUAAAAAAACUCAUUUAAUAUGUAAUAUUGUGUAGUUUAAUUAUUUAUUGUGCUUAAGAUUGUCCAUUGUGUAAAGUGUAAUCUCAACAUUAAGAAACAAGUUUCACGUAUAACAGUCGAUGCAAGUGAUUGUAUCUUCACCUACAAUGUUUGGUUACCUAAGAACCAGUAUCCCUUCCAGGCGCUUGUCAGUUGUUUCCUAAAGAUGGCCUAAUAAGCCGAAAGCUACUUCGAAAUAAACAAAAAUCAGUAGAACAAAAACAGUGUACUUGUUAUUCAACCUUAAAUAUGGAAUUGUUCUGCCAAGAAGUGAAGGAAGAAUCCAUAAAUAAAAAUAAAAUGUUAUUCCAUUAAAUUUUUGACAAAAUGCAAAGGAGAAGGUGAACAUUACAUUUUCCCAAACAAAAAUGACAUUGAAUGAGUUGAUGCGGGUGAAAUUGCUGACACAUAUCCCAUUACUGACUACAACGGAAGAUUUUAGAGUUUGUGUAAAAUGUUUUUGUGAGAAUGACUUUCAUCAGAAAUAAGCUAAUGUUUUUAUUUGCGUAAUUCAUAGUGUAAUAUUGUUUAAUAAUUUUCUGUAGUAUGUCCUAAUUUAUGUUAAUUUCUUAUUAUACCUGCCUUACUCAUAUAGUGAGGUAAAAUAGGUAUAGCACUUCUUAAAUGUAAGUUUUACUA